UGUCCGCAUCAUACGCCCGCUACAUCCUCCGGUGGGCGGGUGCGCGCGGUCUGAAACCCCUCCUCUUUUUAAAAAGCGGACUGCAAUGAUUUAGAAGUUCAGGAAUCCCACGUGACGUCACCGCGAGGUGAUGUAAUGCUUCUGUAAAUAGAUCAUAUUGUAAUCGCGUUUCACUUCAGCGUGCUUCGUCCCAGCGCGAGGAGCGUUGCUAAUCUCAGUCUGCGUGCGUUUAGGUUUUUAGAUCUCAGUGAUGAAUGUUGAUCAGGACAGGCCAUAUGUAUGCACUGCUCCUGGAUGCUCACAGCGCUUCCAAAGAGAAGAUCACCUAAUUAUUCACAGACACAAACAUGAGAUGACCCUUACAUUCCCUUCUAUUAAGUGUGACAGUAUGCUUUCA